GACGAACGCUGGCGGCGUGCUUAACACAUGCAAGUCGAACGGAAAGGCCCUGCCUUUGUGGGGUGCUCGAGUUGCGAACGGGUGAGUAACACUUGAGUUCCCUGUCCUUGACUUUGGGAUAUCCUCAUGAAACUUGGGCUAAUACCGCAUAGGAGCUCCUGCUUUUUGGUGGGGGUUGGAUAGUUUCGGCGGUUGGGGAUGGACUCGCGUCUUAUCAGAUUGUUGGUGGGGUAGUGGCUGACCAAGGCCUUGACGGGUAGCCGUCCUGAGAGGGUGACCGGACACAUUGGGACUGAGAUGAGGCCCAGACUACUACGGGAGGCAGCAGUGGGGAAUAUUGCACAGUGGGCGGGAGCAUAAUGCAGCAACGCAGCGUGCGGGAUGACGGGAUGCGGGUUGUAAACCGAAUUCGCCUGUGCCGAAGCGAGAGUGACGGUAAUGGGUAAAGAAGCACCGGCUAACUACGUG
rnacentral:rRNA from 1 species